UGUGACAUUUCACUGCGAAAAAAACAGUAGGCAAAGGAAUUUGUAACUGGCUGCUACAUCGGAAAGCUCGAUAUAUCUUUAGAGGACGACGAUAUCUAACAUUUACGGGGUGAAAUCUAUCCACGUCAGAGAAAAGCGGAUAGCCGCCAUGUUGUCAACAUUGAAAUCGAAACAGAGGAAAAGCGUGUGUCUGACGCAUACUAAAAUUCAAACAAGGUUGUGGAACAUGUUCAUGCACUCUGGCUGUUAAAGUCAACCUGGGAGGAAAAGUGUCCUCGGUGUGGGGCUCGAACUCACGACCACUAGGACGGCGCUAAAACCAACUAAGCUGACCGGGCAGGAGGGUCUCCUGCUGUUAACCGCUGCCACCAUUAAAAUAUUCUAAUUGAUGGAUAUAAGGAAGUCCCCCUUGUAAUUGUCUUCAACAAGCCUAUCGCAACAGGGGACCUAGAGUAAGACCAAACUGAGAGCCCCCCCUCCCCUCCCCCCAUGAUAUUUGUCAGUCCAUGUAAUGUCAACCGCAAGAGAAACCCAGUGAUGGCAAAUUUUACAAAUAAUCAGAAAGUGUGGUCUUUUGAAGAGAGUCAAGAAGUUGUUCAGCAUAUGGUGUUGUUGGAUUCUUGGAAGGAUGUACCUCUAUGGUGUUAGCUUCAGUCCUGGAAUAUGACACCAGUUGUUGCAUAUUUAAUAUCAGAUUAAUUAAAUACAUUGUUGUGUUACUUAAACAUUGAUAUGUCUUUGGUGCUUAUGUAUGAUAUUGUAGGUGUACAUCUCUUUAUUGCAAUGGCAAAUAUAUUUUAAAAUAUAAAGCAUAAGCAGAAGUUAUUUUUCAUUAUUAAAGCUGCACUUUCACAGAUUAAUCGUUUUGACAACUUACAAAAGAUCCGAUUGCAUUUAUCCUAUUUUGCCUCAAAGAGGUUGCUUUGUGAUUUAUAUAUUAGGACUUAAUUUAAUGAAUGCCAAAAUAAGCCGAUUCUGAGACAAAAAAGUGUCAAAACAGAAAUCUGUGAGAGUGCAACUUUAAGAAUACUGGUAAUCGGUAUGUACAUGUGAUCCGGAAGCUGAACAUGGGAUUAACUAUCAUUAAAGAUUGUAGAUUUAUGUAAAUGGCACCAAAUAUAAGAAUAACAUUGAAAUCAUGUA